AAUAAAUCAUUAUGACAAAAGCUUCUUUCAAAGUGUUCACAAUAUGCGAUAUAUAUAUCCCAUAAAUCCCUAGAGUAAAGAGUGGACCAAACCACACAGAACAACCUAGAAACAAAAUAUAAAAAUCAAAUUACAAAUACAGACCAUUUAGAGGGCUCAAUAGUCAAGGCUCCUUGUGGGAAUUGAACCAGCAAGCUUUCAGUUACCGAGCUUAAGUGUUAACCAGCACACUAUAGAGUAUUAAAUCACAGUCUUGAAAUGUCUGCUUUAAAGGAACAAUAAUCGAAAUCAAAGUCAACAGCCUCCAGGCUUAAUAGAUCCUGGUGGAACAAAAUAACAAGAGUAAUUUAUCAGGAUGUAAAGCCUACAGCGGGAAAUACCCUGUUCAUCAUAAAACUGUGAAAAGAGAGCUGAACUAAAGACUUAAUGAGGACAUGGACAUCUGUGUGUGUGUGUGUGUGUGUGUGUGUGUGUGUGUGUGUGUGUGUGUCAGAACAUUAUAGGUAGUUCCCUUUACUGUAGACGACUCGACCCAACUCCCAGCAGAUCAAUGACUUUCAAAGAAUCUUACAAAUGAUCGGCAGUGACGCAAAUGCCAACAAAGAUGUGAGAUCAUGUGUGUACAGUAUGUGUCAUAUUUAAGUUAUUUGAUGAUGAUGCUUAUAACUGUGUUGAUCUUUUCUUUGUGCAGAAGAUAUCAAACUCCAACAAAGAUCAGUUUCCACCAACAACACAAAUGCUCCAGUGACAACAUGGUCUCAAGUGCGGCUGGUGAACGGCAGGAGCCCGUGCGAGGGCCGUGUGGAGGUGCUCUAUAACAGCACGUGGGGGACGG
rnacentral:lncRNA from 12 species